rnacentral:misc_RNA from 1 species
ACGAAUUCUAUGGUAAGGUUAUGCAACAAUAUAUAUUCUCUACGUUGCACAUUCGCAAGAAUCGAUUUGCACAUACCCAAAGGUCAGCUCGUACGACGCAUCGUUAUAAUUAUCUAAACUUCAGGCAUCGACGUUUUGUCGUGAUAGUGAUAAUGUUUAUUAUUAAUUUCCAGUGUGUAUCAGAUGGAAACGAUAUAACACGCACGAAAAAUCAAUUAGGAGCUAUUAAUUUACAUUGUUUCAAGUGUAUAAUUCGAAACGUUUUCUGGGAAAUGAGGAUUUCAAACUUCUCUGAGGAACACAACAAACAUGGAAUCAACGAAAAGAGAAAAUGGCGAUGGUCAAAAUAAGGUUCCACUGCAUCGUGUCGCGGACGAAACAGGUCUUCGGCUUAUGAGAAACUCCGCCACACUGAAUCAUCAUCGAACGAAAUCUGACAGCCGAAAGAGGCAGUGAAGACAUAGAAUGGAAGAAAAAACUGAUGUAACCUAUCAUUAACUUUGUUCCGUAUCUUAAUGUGAAUUUAAUCAAAGGAAAACCACGAUAAACGAUAUCGACUAACAAAAAUAAACUUCCAGUAGUACAUAAUAAACGUUCAAACUUUUUAAUCUCUGCUGCGCUAUUUUCUUCGUUUCUUUGGAGCCGGAGAAAUUUUAUAAAUAUUUUAAUGUUAAUUUUACCUUUAAAUUAACUUUUUUUUUCUCUUAAUGGUAUUACACUUUUAUUAUAUUCACUUUAUAGUACAUUUUAAGUAACAUUUAAAACGUAGUCAAUCUUUAACAAGUGAAAACUUUCAUGAAACGUUCACAGAUUGUUCAAAAGUUUCUCAAUUUCAUCCAAGUACUAUAACGAGGAAUUUUCUACUAGCAGGAACACCGACGAGUUUUCUAGCCCUUCGCGAGAAGAAUAAUCGAAAGUAGAAGAAACCUCGUUUACGGAGACCAUGUUCGAAGAAUAUUCGAAACGCUGACAAACUGGCAGAACUCAUUCGCGAUGCUUUACCAAUCAUUGGACGAUUAACAAUUGAACAUUUAGAAAGAGAAAGGGAGACCGUGAGAAGUAUAGAAAAAUCGAUAAACACCAAUGACAUUUAUUUAGGGACUUAAUUUUGAAUACCCAUGCGCUGUACACCGUUUCACUUCUUUCCCAGUUCUCCAUACAACUUUCUCGUCUAAGACACGAUAAUUCUCUUUUUAAAAAUUUAUCUAAAUGUACGUUGUUUCGAUAAUGAUACGUUUCCCCGUGAGUACGGAGGAAAUAAGGAGGGGUAAACGAUUCUUUCUUCGUCUAUGACGCGGUUUCGAAGCUCGUUAAUGCGUAUCUUUAGCGAGUUUCUUUUUUUUUCGACGUCAAAACAAAGAUAUUCUUGAGACUUUUCCUCCUUUAUCAGCGUUGGUACGUAUUAAUAUCGUUUACGUAAGAAAUAAUGUACGUA